rnacentral:lncRNA from 1 species
UUUCACACGUCUCUCUCUAAUUGAGGCAAAUUUUCAUCACCCAUCUCUCUUUAUUAGACACCCCCUCGUUCAUAUCUUACUCACACACACUCUCAGAAACCAUGUUUUCUUCUCAUGGCUAAAUCCAAACCCUCUCCAUCUUUCCCGAUGCCUCGAAGAAGUCACCAGUUAAAACAAAAUUACCCACACUGAUGAACAUGUUGACAUUGAAUCGUCGAAGGGCUCAGAUCAUCAAGUGUUUUGAAGAAGAAUCUAGUAAUUAUCUGGAAGAAAUUCUCAUUACUCAAAAAGGGACCAGCAAACGACUAAUGGAGUCGAAUCUCAAACAAUCAUCACAGAAGAAAGGGAAAAUCAAAAGCAUGGAUUUAGGCUCCGAGGACAAAAUGAACUUCUAUGGUCCUGAGGAGAAGUCCUAAUUGGUUGCCUACAAAGGGAAGUCGAUUUCUUAUGGAUGCACUGUAAGUUUAAAAUCUAUGAAGAAUUCUCAUUGUGAUGUUGUCUCUGUGUUUGAAACUCAAAAACUCUUAUCUCAAUUUGCUAUUGUUGGUGAUACCAUUUAUGAAAAUCUUGUGCGUAUGUUAUAUGCAAACUUGUUUGUGGAUGACAAAGAUGAUUUGGAAUUUAUGGUUCUUGGGACUUGCAUCAUUCUUGAUUAUUAUCAGUUUGAAAAUAUCUUUUCAACUAAGUUUCUUGGGUAUAGUUUCUUUGUACAACAUUCGUGGCCUGAUGAUAUUAAAGUAUCUUUUGAGGAUGCAAAAAGUGUUCUAUCUAAAACUCCCCUGAUAUAGGUCGCAAGAACCUAAACUUUUGAGCAUUCUGUGUUAGCCCACAUUAUUGUUACCACCCUCCUACCUUGCAUUGGGUCCCUUAGCACCUUGUCUAUCAUACACGUGUUUGUUUUGUACUGUCUUAUUAAUGGAAAAAGCUAUUGAUUGGUUCACCUGGAUACGUCAAUUCAUGCUUGAGAGUAUUAGGGAUGUCUCUUCCUCUGCGAACAGUUUGCCCUAUGGCCUACUAAUCUCUCAUAUUUUGCAAGUGAUGAAAGUGGAUUUAUCUCCCUUUUCCCCUAAGAUCUUCUCUAGCACUUAUGACAAAACAACAAUUGCUAUGAUGGGGUACACCUUAGUUAAAGGGACUUGGGUCAAGAAAGAAAAACCCCCAGAAUCUACAACCCCAACAUAACAUGGUACUUGAGGAAUUAUGUCUGAAGUCAAACAAUCUUCAUCCUCAGAUCAGUUGUUGCUAAUGCAUCAAAAUAUUGUAAGUAUCAAGGAUUUGCUAACCACUAUGCAGGAACAAGUAGGCAAAAUCUGGGAAGUAACAAAGGAAACUGGAGCAGAUGUGGCUAGAUUAAGAAUCAAUCUUCAGACCACAAAAAGACAAAGGAUCAGGGCUAUGCAGGAUGUCACUGAUCAUUCGAUUAAAGUCACUAAGGAGAUUGAUGCCUCUUAUAAUAAUUUCUACACCAAAGCGAUCAACAUUCUAAAGUAUUUCCUUGGAAGGAAUUGUUGUCUGGGAUGUUUCAACUAUGACUACUUGGUUGUAUAUAUAAGUACUACAUGAUGGUUAUUUUAUGUCAUUAUCUAUCAUUUUCUAUGUAUCUUCUCUUGUUAUUUUUUAUUGAUAUCAAAGGGGGAGAAGAAAAAGAGUAUAAAGACAGGGGGGCUAGAUAGGGGGAGGAUGAAGACCAGGGAGCACAGCAUAUAAAAGGAUACAAUGUGAAGGAAAACAUUACAAAAUCCUUGAAACUCUUUUAUUUAUUGUCAAAAAAGUGGGAGAUUGUUAGGUUUCGAAUUUCAACGAUGACUCAAAACAAAAGUUAAACACUCUCUAGUAAUGUAUCUACCACGUGUGUAGGCUAACUAUUCAAAUCACAAGAAGGAAAGUGCAUCAGGGUAGGAAAGAAACAAAGGAAGGUACAACCACAACUAUCACAUUCAAAUCCUUCUAUCAAGUGCGUACAUCAGGAAAAUAAAGAAGGAAAGUGAAUCAAUCAAUAUGAAAAAUAGACAAAAGACUAUCAAGGAAGGAAAGGGAAUCAAUAAAUUGUGCAAAAUCAACGAAAGACUCAACUUCAGUGAUUGGAAAGAAGUUCAAGGCAAAUCCAGCAUAUUAACUAAGGAUGAAUCUGGCCUUGCUUCGUGUGUUGUAUUCAAGAGGCAACCCUUGGGUCCUACUCUUAGAAUACAUUGACUCAAAAGGAAAAUCAUUUAAUCAACGAUUUUCCAAAAUCUUACAGAAAGGAACCAACAACUUCAUCAAGCUCUAUAUAAGAAGAGAAGAAAGGACUUGGGAUUUUACGCAACUUUCAUACAAGUUUUCAAUCUUUCUACUUCUUAAAAAAUACUGUAUUCCUAAGCUUACUAGUGUCUCAAAAGAUAGAGAGAAAAAAGAAAUUGAUUGAAAGGUUGUGUCAAGAAUUCAUUUGUAAUUCGUUUGUGGUAAACGUGAAGAAAACAACAUAUAUAGUUGUUCAAUUGAAGAUUUAAGAGAACCCUUAUGACCCAAGGCAACUGGAUGUAGUUUCCAUAUCGGUACACAAACCAGUAUAAAAAUCUCUAUCUCUCAUGUUUAUUUUUAUUGUUCUCCGUUACUUUUAUUUCUUGUACUAACUUUUGUCUGUAGAACCUUGGUAGUCAACUAAGAACAAAGUUAGUCGACUAAAGAAUUUUUACAAUUCGCCCCCUUGUACUUUCAAGUUAGGGGCGUCAAACCUCCAUCAUGCCACUGUCCUAUAUAUGUAAAGUUUAUCGAUAACACAACUUUCUGGUCUCAUUUACAGAUCACCCCUCUCAUCUAUAACUUCAACAUUAAGCUCUGGUAACUUAUGACCUAGCAGCUUAUAUGCCCCAAAACUUAUUGAACCAUAGUCUCAAGUUUUGUAGCAUUGGCCAACAUAGCCUCAGUGCAAAAAGGGAAAUCUUUGAUGUCAGUCACAUCGGGUUUGCCGAUCAGUUGAAAACUAUGAAAUAAGUCUGUAGUAGUUCAAAACUGGAAUUGGCACAAUAUCGCGAAGUGGCUGCCCUCGCUCAAUUCAACUCAGACCUUGAUGCUGCGACUAAGGCAUUACUCAAUAGAGGUGAAAGGCUGACAGAAGUAGCGAAACAACCACAAUAUGCCUCCAACCAACUUACUGAGGCUUUAAAAAGUAGAGAGCACGUAGUGAAGGCCUAGAUCGUUAUCCCCAGCAAAAUCUAUGGAAAGUAUCUCUAACUUCUUAGCAUGGACCGCAAUGUAGUCAAACAUACAAUCUGUAAGGAGGACAUAAAGCAAAAGUCAAUGCAAUUCCUUGCAGUGUUGCACAAUUUCCCCAAUACCAUCUUCAAGUGGUCCAAUGGUUAAGUAAUCAGGAUUUUGAGGCUUGAUUAUACACAAACAAAAUAAGACCAUGUUAGGACAAUUCCUUACAAUAGUAACUAAGUAGGCGGUCUACAGAGGGAGAGAAUCAACUCGAUAAUAGAAAUGUAUACGUUGCUUAAAUAAGUACUAUGCAUAGCUCGCGCUACAGUACUAUUCUGAAAUCCACCGGGAAAAUAUCAAAAUGCAAAAGUUAACAGAGAAAUUGGUAUCACAUUAAGUGGAAAUUGAUGACACAGGAAAUUGAAGAUCAGAAAAACAAAAAGAUUUUCUCUCCCUUCUCUCUAAAUUUUCUCUCACUAUGACCCACCCCAAUGACCAACCACCUCAUGACCCACCAGAUCUAUCAAAGCCCACACCUAGUGAAAAAGUGACAACUAACCUAAUCAAUUCCCACAUCGACACGUAGCUUAAACCCACCUACCACCACCACCAAAUUUCUUCCGACCACCAAAUCUGGAAACCCCAAAUUCAUGAAGGAAGUGGAGAAAUCCACUAGUUCUCAAUUAGAGGUACAUCUCGAAAAUAAUAGCAACAACAAUGAUUUUGAAACACAUAAACAAGAGCCUUAUGGGCAAUCGAAGAUGGAAGAUGAAGUUCCAGAUUCUCAAGCAGCAAAGACUAACCACAAUAGUAAAAGUUCAGUUUAGAAUUUCCCGAAGGUAUCAUUAAACUUUGAUAGAUUAAUCACAAUAAGAAGGCAAAUGCAUCAGAGGCUCCAAAUGGGAAUGAACAGAUGGGUGCUAAUCUGACUAGGCCAACAUCAAAUCAAUUACAGAGUGCAAUAUCUAUGUAUCCACAUGGUGUUGGGAUUAGAAUAUCUACCAUAUCUAUGAAUAGAAAAAACAAUCUAGGUACUUCCAAACCAUCUUUUCGGCUGAUGUUCAGGCAAAGUUGGCAAUUGGGAAUUCAGGUAAAAUCCAGUUUCAAUCGAACAUGGUAUGCAUCUUGGAAAAAUGAUUGUCUUUUUCAUUGCUGUUGAUUAUUUUGUGAAUCUUUCUCAAUAUUAUAAAUUUACCGUUAUUGGGAAGUUUUAUUGGGGAAAACCAACGAUGGAUGACAUAAGGAGAGAGUUAGUUAGUCAAUUUCAGCUUAGGGGAACUGUUAUAAUUUCAUAUUUUGAUUAUUAGCAUGUAUAUCUAGAUUAUGAUAAUGAAGUUGAUUUUACUUAUGUGGGAACUUGAUCAUUUGUGAAUAUUGGAAUAGCCCCAAUGAAAAUCAUGAAAUAGACCCUAGAUUUUAGGCCAGAAGUGGAAACAUCUAUUGUUCCAGUUUGAAUAUUAAUACAUCAGUUGCCAUGGCAUCUAUUCAGGUGGCACGUUGUUUCUAGAAUGGUAAUUGGAAUUCGGACUUUUGUAGCUCCUGAUAUGGCCACAUAUUCCAAGUCUAGAGGAAAUACAGCUAAGAUGAAAGUUGAAAUUGACUUGCUAAAACCAAAGUUAGAUGAGUUAUGGCUUGGGUUCAACACUUUAGAUGGCAAGGAAGUUGGGGUAUGGCUGAAUAUUGAAUAUUGGGGUGACCUUAUCUAUUGUCAAUAUUGUUUCAUGCAGGGCCAUUUGGAAAGUCAUUGUAGAAAUAAAAUAAGGUAUGAGAGGAAC